GAAGAGACUCUAAGAAAAGACUUAGAGUACUUGGAUCUAACGGAGGACAUGACACAAAACCGAGCGCAAUGGCGUUCUAGGAUUCAUAUAGCCGACCCCACUUAGUGGGAAAAGGCUUUGUUGUUGUUGUUGUUGUUGUUGUGGUCAAUUCAGCAUCACUUGUGAAAAAAAGAACUGAACCCAAAAUAAUCUUAUUACAAAAAUUAAAAUAAAUAACACCCUAGAACAAUGAAAUGUAUCUCACUCUCUAGAAGUCACGCCGGAAAAUGCUAGCCUCUUCCCUCCGACGUCAUUUUCGGCUGUAAUCAACCACCAAUCGUGCAGGCAUACCUUGAGAAAAUCAAAAGUGUCAAGUGGUCCAACUUCUUCAAAAUUUCCAAUCCCAAAAUCAGAAAAUCAAUAUAUUAACAUUGUACCUUAACAAACCCCCAAAUUUCGAGUCAAAGAAAAUUAAUACAAUAUCUCUAAAAAAUAAUCAAAAGACAGAAAAAUCUGAAAAAAAAUUACUGACAAUAAAAAUGCAAAAAAAAAAAAAAAUUAUAUAAGAAUUUCUAAAAUCAUAAAGACAUCUGAGAUGGAAGGAAUUAAAUGAAUAACUGAAAUCACAUAAAAAGUUCAAUGAAGAAUUUUUCCAAAACCCAGAAAUUUAAACGAAAUUUUUUACAAAAGCAUGAAAAAUUACUAAAAACCUAGAAAUUUGAAGCAGACGUUUACCUGCAAUAGGUCUAGAAGCUACCUGAUGUGAAGAGCAACCGUUUGAGACCAACCUCGAGGCCGGCCGUUGCCGAAAUCGUCGAAAUCGCCGCCGAAAGACACUUUCUAUUAAGUGAGUCACGGAGAUAAAAGUGAGAGGAAAGAGAGAACGGAGAAAGAGGAGUUGAUGAGGGUUUGGUUAUGGUUGGCUUGCGGUUUGAGAGUUUUAAGGUUGCAGAGAGAAAGUGAAGAGCGAGAGUGGAGAGGGGGAAGAAGAACGUACCGGAAGCAAAUGGAACGUACGGGAAGCAAAGGGAAAGACCCGGCUUUUUCAGUCACCUUCCUAAAAGCGAUGAACGACACGUGUAAAUCAGGCAGAAAUGAAAUAAAAUAACCAAGCAAGGGCAAAAAAGGAAGAACACUGUUAAUGAACAGUAUUUUUUGUGUUGGGUUUUAGUAUAUGUAUAAUAUACAUUCAUAUAUUUGCUACUUGAGUUAGGGUAGAAUAUUUUGUAAAUAGAUUUAUGUUAGUAUAUUAAUUUAUUUUUUUUUAUAAAAUAUUAAUUAGAUAUUUUGGAGUUGAAAAAUGCAUAAUAUUAAAAGAUUUUUUAUUAUUUUUAGAAAAUAUAAAAGGAAUAUAAAAGAAAUAAAAAUAUAUAAUUAGAUAACUGGAGUCACUCCUAAAAACACUAUGUUUUUUGACCUGGAUCUAAAAGCCUCUUUAAAUUAAUUUAUUUCUUAUAAAUUUAAAAUUAGUUGCAUUGGAGAGAGCACAAUGACAUAAUUUUAACCAGAGCACAAUGACGAACAUAGAAAAUAUAAACAUCAAAUUGUAUCCGUUUUGAAUUCUCAUUAGUGC
rnacentral:lncRNA from 1 species